rnacentral:rRNA from 1 species
GCACCCGCGGUAAUUCCAGCUCCAAUAGCGUAUAUUAAAGUUGUUGCAGUUAAAAAGCUCGUAGUUGAACUUCUGUACAGUCUCACUUCUGGCUUCGGUCAAGGUGUUGGCUGUGCAUCCGCUUGCAAAGCUGGUUCGGCCUUAACUGGUCGGCUAGUAGAGUAAGCCCUUUACUUUGAAAAAAUUAGAGUGUUUCAGGCAGGCAAUGGCUCGAAUACAUUAGCAUGGAAUAAUGGAAUAGGACUUUUGUCCAUUUGGUUGGUUCUUGGACUUAAGUAAUGAUUAAAAGGGACAGUUGGGGGCAUUGGUAUUUAACAGUCAGAGGUGAAAUUCUUGGAUUUGUUAAAGACUAACUUAUGCGAAAGCAUUUGCCAAGGAUGUUUUCAUCAAUCAAGAACGAAAGU